UACAUCGACUGAAAUAUGUUCACCAUAAAUAGUUUGUAACUUAACUGUUGCUGUGUCUAGUUCGUUGUACUUUGUUGUUCUUGUCUCCAAAUGCCGAUAAUACUAUCGCCUCCCUUCAUGUUGGUCUUAUAUCCGAUUUAUCUGCUAAAUGCCUGGUGAUAAAUGACUUUUGAGCGCCUUCGUCAAAAAGGAUGUUUGCGUUAAUCUUUUGUUAACAAAACCUCAGGACGGCCACAGUUGAAUGACGAAUUAAACGGAUGUCUCAGAUUCCUUCGAUUUGUAUGUUUAUGCUAUGUGUGUACUCGUAGUUUCUUUCCCAUUAUGCAUAUGGUCGUUGCUGCAUCAGAUUGUGUGAUGACGUCUGUAACUUUUUUUGCAGUUUAUUUCGAUUUACAAACUGCUUAACG
rnacentral:lncRNA from 1 species